AGGACGAACGCUGGCGGCGUGCUUAACACAUGCAAGUCGAACGGUGAAGCCUUUCGGGGUGGAUCAGUGGCGAACGGGUGAGUAACACGUGGGCAAUCUGCCCUGCAUUCUGGGACAAGCCUUGGAAACGAGGUCUAAUACCGGAUACGACGCAUCUCCGCAUGGGGUGUGCGUGGAAAGCCCCGGCGAUGCAGGAUGAGCCCGCGGCCUAUCAGCUUGUUGGUGGGGUAAUGGCCUACCAAGGCGACGAC
rnacentral:rRNA from 1 species